rnacentral:rRNA from 1 species
GAGUUAGCCGAUGCUUAUUCUUCAGGUACACGUCAUUUAUUCCUCCCUGAAAAAAGAGGUUUACAACCCAUAGGCAGUCUUCCCUCACGCGGUAUUGCUCCGUCAGGCUUUCGCCCAUUGCGGAAAAUUCCCC